rnacentral:lncRNA from 1 species
AGGCUAUAACAGGGGGAGGAGGCGGAGGCGGGAGGCCAUUUUAUUCCACGAAAUUGAACAUAUUUCACACAAGAGGAGAAGUGUUUUUACCAUGUCCCAAUAAGUGUGCGCAUAUUGUAACAUGGGCGCUCAUGAUACAUUGAUGCACUAAUAAUUCUUCUGAAGCAGGCUAAUACACCACAAAAAAAUGAAGAAAGGAUUUUUGAGUCGAAAGAGUCCAUCCCUCUUCGACUCCAACGCCGGCCAAAUGAAGGACGGGGGAAUGGAACAUUUGGAGUUGGUCUUAGACUCUUCUGCAAUUCCAGAAUCAGGCACAGCUAAAGUGCGAUCUAGACCCACAGUAAAUUACUUGAACGCACACACGUUCUCAGACACCGCGCAAGGCUUUGCUGUUCCAACUCCAAAAGUGCCUCUCCUUCCUUUCCUGAACGGGCCAAAGACAAAUGGAACAGGAAGCACCCAGCAACUUCACAAUGGUGGAUUGAUUGUUGUUCCUGACGAUGAAGGUGAAAUACUUAUCCCUCCACCGCCGUCAGUGGCACCUCCACCACCUCCACCCCAAUUUAUCCCACCUUCACCAAAGUUUGUCUCUGCCCCACUUGUAUUCGGAGACUUUGAGGUCCCACCAGAACUGGCUUCACUCCAACCUCCACCCAUGCCUGCUCCCAAACCUCCAACAGUUGCACAAUCCCAGGACAUUGACCUUACUUCUCUGAAGCCCCCACCAAUGCCCCCUCCAAAGCCCCCCUCUGACACAUCCAGUACUAACAGCGUCAAAGCUUCCUUGCCCAUCUCCACACCUCUGAAUCAUCCUCCAGUUGUUCCUGACUGCCCAAAAUUCACUCCACCUCCACCACCAGUGGUAAAACAACAGCCUUCCGGGCCCCAAAAGGCACCCCCGCCAAAGCCUGUCCGGAUGUCCUCCAUGGCAAACAUUGAUAGUGCUACUGCUGUGCCUUCAAGCUUCAAUCCUCAGAACACAGCCAAGGUCUACAGCAUACCCAAGACCACUCUCCUGAGUGGAGGCAUUGACAGAGAUGUGAGACCCAAGUCAAUCCUCCUUCUGGAGGAUUCGUCAGGUGACUCCUUCCGGGUCCAUGUCAAUGGCUCCACCACGGCAAGCCCAGCUCAGACACCACUGCCUCCAGCUAAGCCAGCUCGCAGGGGAAGCUCCAACACUCUGGAUAAGGAUCUGAAGGACCUCAAAGAUAAUAUGACCGCCACCUUACCAGGCCAACCUAACGCUGUGUCUUCCAGCGCACCAAAAACUCAAACACCUCCAAAUCCCAUUUCAACCCCUCCAAAUCCGGCAGCGACACCUCCUAAAGUUUCCCCAAAAUUACAAAAAGUGCCAGCUGCCCCUGCCCCACAAGAAACAAGCCAGACAAAGGUACUGGGGGGUUCUCAAGGAAAACCCCACCAGUACAGCCCUUUACUCACCCGCAAAUUACACAACCUCAAAGCAAACGAGAGUUCAGGGACAAGGGAAGGUGUUGCUUCCCCCUUGGCCCUACUGAUGGCUGCUAAGGAACGAGAUCGGCAACGCUCAUCUUUGUCCCGUGAGAAUAGCACCAAGAGCAGCCGAUCUGUUGAGCUUCCUGUCAGGGCAACUAUUCAGCCCAGCGAAUUGAAACCCAACUCUUUCACAGUAAUCCCCAAGACCUCCUCAUCCUCGUCACUAACGUCACAAGAGAGACUUCCUGUGGAGAAACCUGAUCUCUCUGUUCAGCCAGCAGUUGCUGUAAAGCCUCAAGCUCCAGCCCAGGUCACCCCAUUACAGGAGAGAACCCUGGUUGCUAAGCAAGAACCAAAGCUCCCUGUACCCUCCACAGCACCAUCCUCUUCCCCUAUUAAUGUUAAAAAGAAAGUUCUAGAAAAUCAGGUUAACAACCCAGCUCCAGCCUUAUCCUGUGCUCGUGAUCAGGAAAAAGGAGAGGACUUGAGCAUUCCUUUUAUUCCUCCCCCUCCAGAGUUUGCCAACUCAGAUCCCGAGGAUGGGGAGGGCCCCCCUAGCACACCUCCUCCCGAUCCUCCCUCAAAGGCAACAAUACCACCACCACCUCCUGCAAAGGGCCCACCUGUCAGUCCUUUGCCCAUCACAAAGGGACCUCACACUGCCCAAAAACCAAAGCCGCCAACCGCACCCCAGCUUCCACCAUCGCCAGGUGAACUGAAAGCCAAAAUAGCUCAGCAGACCAAGCCGAAGCUUCCCCAAAAUCUUCCCCCAGCGCCUACGUCUGCCAACCAGGCUACUCUUCUUAGUAUCCUGCAGAAGAAAAUGCUGGAGAUGGAUCCAAAAUUGUCAGUUCCAGUCAAGGAGACAGACAACAAUACAGAUGAAUGGGGCACCAUGCCGCCUGAUGAAGGGGUCAUCCCAGUCCCACCUAAGACUUCUCCCAAAGCUAAGGGCGCCACACUUCCAGCACAGAGUCGAGGUCUGGAUAUGCGGGAGCUUGAGACCAGAGUGGCCCAGAAGAAGGCAGAAAAUGUAGCUGCAUUAUCAAAAACAGCAACAAGUAAUGGACCAUCCAAGCAGCCUUACGGUAUGACGUUCACAAUACGGCCUGGGACAAAACAACCAAUUACUCCCAUCAGUAAAAUUGAUUCAUGAAGUCCAUUUUCACCACCAAGACUGCUUUUGAAGUACAAAACCUCAGAUACGAGACACACUAGUGCCUUUAUAAUGCUGAGCAUGGGCAACCAUGAGCACUUUCCUCUUUUCAUUUUGACAUGGGGGAAAAACGAACUCAAGAAUGUGCCUGAUUUUUCAGCCUUCAAAUAUUCUGCUGAUAGCAGGAUGCAUUUUCUUUUCUUUGUUAUUUAACCUUCUGUGCUUUCAGCGUCAAAUACAUUCCGACCCUCUGUUGAAGUGCUAAAGUUCUUGGAGUGUGUCAGACUUGCCUUGAGCAAAAUGGCUGUUAACUUCAGCAAUUGAAUAUUGCCUUCUUGUUUUAACCCACGGAUGCAAUGGCCAAAUAAACUGAUGUUACUUUCACUGCUGACA